rnacentral:rRNA from 1 species
ACAUCCAAGGAAGGCAGCAGGCGCGAAAAUUACUCAAUCCUAACCCAGGGAAGUAGUGACAAGCAAUACCGAUAGGGAUCCUUUUGGAUUCUUUGUUGGAAUGGGCGUAAUUUAAACCCCUACGUGAGUACCCACUGGAGGGCAAGUCUGGUGCCAGCAGCCGCGGUAAUUCCAGCUCCAGUAGCCUAUCCACAUGUUGUUGCAGUUAAAAAGCUCGUAGUUGAAUGUCUGGGAUUUGAGUCUGCCGCUCAGCGGCGACUCUGCCCGCCCCGCCGAAAGGCGCUUUUACUGUGAAAAAAUUAGAGUGUUCCAAGCAGGCCUAGCCUGAAUACCUUAGCAUGGAAUAAUAACAUAGGACUGUCUGUGAUGUUGUUGGUUUGCAUCCAGCGGUAAUGAUUAAUAGGGACGAUCGGGGGCAUUUCUAUUCAGCAGUCAGAGGUGAAAUUCUUGGAUUUGCUGAAGAGAAACUGCUGCGAAAGCGUCUGCCAAGGGCGUUUUCAUUAAUCAAGAACGAAAGUCAGGGGAGCGAAGAGGAUUAGAUACCCUCGUAGUCUUGACCAUAAACCAUGCCGACUCGGGAUUGGUGUUCGCCGCAGGGCACAUCAGCACCGUAUGUAAAAACAAAGUCUUUGGGUUCCGGGGGGAGUCUGGUCGCAAGGCUGAAACUUAAAGGAAUUGACGGAAGGGCACCACCAGGAGUGGAGCCUGCGGCUUAAUUUGACUCAACACGGGAAAACUUACCAGGUCCGGACGCAAUGAGGAUUGACAGAUUGAGAGA